rnacentral:tRNA from 2 species
AAAUAGUUGGCGUAGAUAGCGUAUAUGAUUUCGGGUCAUAAGGAAGACAUAGAGUUUAUUAUUUG